UUGAACUGGGGAAUGAGCUUUGAAUUUCCUGCUCCUUUUGCCAUGGAUUCCCUGGGUUUCCUUGAACAGAUUUAGCUGCUUAUUGGAACUCAGCAGGGUUUCAUUAUCAGCAGAUGUGAAUCUUUUAGAGUUCAAUUAAAUCAUACUCACUAGAUGUGCAGGCUUAGAGCAGGAGUCUCCUGCUCCCCUCACCCCAGAGGUCAGCGCGGUGUUUGGGAGCAGCGAAUGAAACCUGCUCGCAGCAGUGUCAGGUCCUGGCCUCGGCAGGAGCACACGUGGGAGAACCUUUGGCAAGGAGAGAAGAUUUGCCCGAUGACACUUCUGGCUGAGCAGUGACUCGUUCAAGUCCGUGAGCUCCAGCGCAACGCCAAGCCCGGCCUUGUGUCCUGAGCUAUCCCCGGGCUGGAUCUGGCAACCUGUGGUCUCUCAUCUUGUGCUUGCCAGCUCCACCUGCGUGCCCCUGGCUCAGGAGGCUGACCUAGCACAGGAGUUAAAGUGGGAGGCCAAGAAGCUCUCUAGUAAAUGUGAAAUGGUACAGGAGCCUUGAAGAAUAAAGGAGAAUAAGAACAGCAUUUUCCCAUGCUCCAAGGUUUAAAUUGGCAAAGCCUGGUCACUCCCCGCCUGCUUCCUCAUGCCAACCAUCGCACUCUCAUUUCAGAGAGAUCCGAGGGAAACGAGUUAAAAGCAACUAGAGAGAAAUACCUUUUAUGGAAGCGCUAGCAGGCAGUAUGGAUCUGUUAUCCUCUAAAGACAUCCACACAAACUAAUAUAAUUUGAACAGAUACAUUCUGUGCCUCUGAUGCCUUCACUGGGCUUAACUGCUGAGUUUGAUGGUAAAUCCAUGUGACAAUGCAUAUGUUAAAAACCAUUAAGAAGUUAGUAAAGAUUUACUGCCAGCCAGCACAUGAAAUGAAGAAGGAAGAGCUCAGAAGUAAUUGUACCGUGUGGCCUUGUGAAGUGACUCUGAUUUUUAGAAACGUUCAUGACUUGGGCUGGAAAAUGGCAGAGCUGGACGUCGGGGGUUUCCUCUUCCUUGUGACCAAAGUGGUUGUUUAAUAUUAAGUGAGCGUGAGAGUGUUAAGAGGAUGAGACAACCUCAACUCCUCGAGAACAGAAUAGAAAGACUCCGAGAUGCAGAUUUUCAAGCGUGCUUCUAAACAACAUUUUCAUUUUUUGCUCAAGCUUGCUUCUAGUCUGACCCUGACAGUUGUAAAUCUUGGAGCUGAUUCAGAAGAGACAAGAACAUUGAGGAUAAUUGCCCUGUAAUUCAGAGAGCCUUGGUGGGGAUGGAGAGGUAUCAACACAUGUGAGAGAGGAAUGACUCCCUUUAUUACACUGAGCAGCAGAAGCUCUAUUUGUUAUUAAGCUGAGUGACAGCCCUGUUUGAAUUUCCUCAUACCUCUGCCAGAGCUUAUAUAUCUGAAGCAAAUAUGUGAUCCCGCAAUUAACGAUCAUAUUCUGUAGGUAAUAAAGUGAGAAAAUUCACAUGGUUCAGUUUGAGCACUGGGAGUUUUUAACUUAAGUGCUCAUUUUUCUUGAACCUUUUAGUUCUUAUAGUUUGGGGUGAAAAUGUUUUUUCUUUUGCUAAAGCUUAACCUAGCUCACAUCCGUGGCUCGUAAUGAUCCCCACAACUUUUGACAGUGGUGGGGAACGUGGGAUAAACCACCCUGUUGUCAAUAAACUGAUUCUCCCCUUGUUAUAUAACAAUGCAAAUGUAGUAAUUUCCUCUCUGCUCCAGUUGUUACUCAGUCUCCAAUUAAUUCAGAAAUGGGCCAGUAGUAAAUAUGCAACUGCUAGCACAGUUUAAUGUGAAGUCUGGUUUAUUGUCAGAUUGCUAUUAAUGUCUUCUGAUUAGGCGCUGACUUCUCCCUCUGCUGUUUAAAUGUCACUGCUGGAAUCAGAGGGGUGAAAGGAAUCUAAUCUGUUCUCCCCAACCCUCAACCUCUGUAUCACAGGAACUUUGAAAUGUGCAUUUUUUCCUAUUGUUCUCCAGUCUAUUGUGGAAGUGCUGCAGUGACUAAUUCUUGCAUAAAUCAUUGCCAUGACAACACCUGUAAUAUCUACUGUCAAAGAGUGCCGAGGCGCUGAGGUUCCUUCAGCGCAGCCAGAAGGCUGAGGAGGGAUGACAGCGGAGGACGUAGCUGCACCAGCCUGUCCUCGCAAGGGCAGGGAUGGAGUUUUGAAGUCUCCCCUCUGCCCCCCUUUCUCCCUCUCCUCUUGAAGCUGACCAAAUCAGCUCUCAUGGACGAACCAGGAGGGCUGCUCUGCGUGCUGGUGGACACCCUGUGCUGGCCUCGGAAGGCCUGGCUCUGCCACUGGCUUCUUUAAUAGCCCUUGGUGCUUUCCUUCACCUCUGGGGGAAGCAGGCUGAGCUCUGUGGCAUCGUGCAUCAGCUCUGUGCCAAGCACAAUGGGGUCCUGACCUCGCCUGGGCUCGUUAGAUCCGCUGUAAUUUAGAUAAGCGUGACAGCCCCGUGUGGUCAAUUUACAGCAGCCGAGGAUGGGGCUCUUCUCUUUUUUGCUGGACAGCAUUAAUGAUAAAGUAUCGAUUCUCAUCUACUCGGAAGCAGACAAAGUUGGGCAUUGUGUUUAAUUAAGGAGGACCUUACAACUGGGGCUUGUGAAGUGAUCAAUAUUUAUUAGGAUGGGGUAAUCUUGUUUUGACUUUUAAACCUGGUGGAUUUGAUACACAUCAUCAGCAGGGCCAUAAAUGUGUGGCAGUGAGAUGUACUUUUCACAGGGUAGCAUCUUUUAUGAUAACCUGAAGCCUAGCUCUAGUUUAAUGGCAAAAUAUAUCAACCCAUUUUUCUCCUGUUCCUGCUAGCUCUUCUUUAUUCAUUCUAGAAAGGAGCCCUGUGAAGGAGAAAUGUAGCAGAGAGGUUACUGAUCGCUAUCUGCAGUCUUGUUGCAAAGGAAAAUUUACUGUCGUGGGGUAACGUAGGAACAACUCGCAUUUAAUGAAUUUUGUCAGAAGUACUUUAUAGGUAGGGUUGGAUGACAAAUGAGGAGUGGCCUUUAAUGCCAAUGUAGAAUCCAUCUGUCUAGGUCUGUCCACCAUUUUUCUUCCACCUUAUUCAUCCCUAUUGUAGGUGAAGCCUCCUGUGGUAUGUGGAGGUCUCAGUUACACCUCAGAUUAAAGGCAAGGGAAGAAGGAAUGGGUACCACGUACAGAAUAACCGGUCCCUGUAGUGACAGCACAUUAGGUUUUCUUUGGAAGCUUCCUCCUGUAGAGAGACCUUCUUUUUAUCCAGAGUCCCGGCUCCUGACCUGAUUUUACACUUGGCAGUAUCUCCUGUGGUCACUGACAUCUGAGCACGUGAAAGCGUUGCUAUUCUAGUUCCCCUGACUGGGUAGAAAGAGCAGUGUGUGGAGUA